CACUCAUGUCUGUUGCUCAUGUAGGCCACAAACGCCACAUCAAGCCAGAAGAGGAGUUCACUGUCCAGCUUUUAGCAUGUUAGUUUGAAUACUCUUCCCCAAAAAGAUUACUCUCAACUGAGACACCAGAGAUCACUGCUUCACUUCAAACCUUGGUACUGGCAGUUGUUUUGUCGCCAAGUGGUCACGGACAGGACAACGGAAGUUCCUGGCCACUUCACCACGUCUCCAUUAGUGGAAAAACAGUGCUGAGACAGAAGAUAUUUCCUGGCCUCACAGACCGUCCGUCCUGUCGGUGGUCUUCCACUCUCCUCUCAUAAUGCUUUGACCUUCUGUGCCUCCUGCAGGCCAGCCUGCACGUGCCCGCCUGCUCUGUGGCCGCCGGAUUACCAAUGCAUGCUGAGUGAGCAAAGUGUUUGAAGGAGGGCUGCACAUAUGUCUCGUCUGGCAAACGUUGUCUCUUUCCAUCCCUCCUCCACUUCAGCUGGCAGAAUGAAAAUGUCCGACUGUUACAGCUUACUUAGAUGAGGGUUACAGUAGGUCACACAUACAGUGACUCAUUUAUUUCAUUAAUUGAUUUUAGGGAAAGGGAUUAGGAAAGUACUUUAAAGCAGUUGUUAUAUGUAUUUCUAGGAAGGUAACGUGUAUCAGCGUAUCCUCAUACAAUGGUUCGUAUGAUAUGUUAUGAAAACUUCUUCCUCAUUUUUCGUGCAAUUUCCUAUGAAUGUCCAGUGUCAAUUUCUGCUCCAG